rnacentral:lncRNA from 1 species
GAGCGCCACAAGGAGGACUUGAAGCCCGGUAAACCCCGUCCUUACGAGCCCCGCCCCUAGCUCUUCUACUACGGAGGGGAACUGCAGAGCCAGAAGAGCACGGAGCAGCAACUCGCAGCCCAAUUGGUGACGCUGCAGAAUGAACUGGAGCUGGCGGAGACCAAAUGCGCCUUGCAGGAGGAGAAGCUGCAGCAGGACGCGCUGCAGACAGCGGAGGCCUGGGCCAUAUUCCAGGAGCAGACCGUAGUCCUGCAGGUGCGGCCCCACUCAGACGCCAAGGUGCCUCCCGCCUCUCCUCCCCCAGACCUGGGGCGGUGUGACGGGCAGCUUCGCAGAGUGCAGUACAGCACCGAGUCGCUCAUGGAGGAGAUGGCCAGGGCGGACCGAGAGACGCGGCUGUUCGGCGGUCCUCGCGCGCUGGCCAUCAGGCGCUGCUGACGCUGCCGCUCCUCUUCCUGGGGCUGUCGCUGCUCUGGACGGUGCUGUUGGACCCCGGCGCCGUCUCCGCGUGGCUCUGGAGCCUCACCUCGGAGACGACGCUGCGCCGCCUGCGCUACACGCUGUCCCCGCUGCUGGAGCUGCGCGCUAACGGGCUGCUGCCAACCUAAGUGCAGCGCCCCGCGCCUGGCUCCAGGUGGACUCCAGGGCACCGGCUUUAUUUCUGGUGCACUCCUCUCCUGAGAGUGUAGACCAAGGUCGCCUAAUAAACUCCUCAAGG